UAUCAUCGAUCAUGUGAGCUGU
rnacentral:miRNA from 1 species